GGAGGUGGCAAGCGUUGUUCGGAAUUACUGGGCGUAAAGGGCGCGUAGGCGGUAUGCCAUGUCAGGGGUGAAAGGCCUGGGCUCAACCCAGGAACUGCCUUUGAAACUGGCAAACUAGAGUCCGAUAGAGGAUGGCGGAAUUCCCAGUGUAGAGGUGAAAUUCGUAGAUAUUGGGAAGAACACCAGUGGCGAAGGCGGCCAUCUGGAUCGGCACUGACGCUGAGGCGCGAAAGCGUGGGGAGCAAACAGGGAUUAGAUACCCUGGUAGUCCACGCCGUAAACGAUGUGUGCUAGACGUUGGGGGGUCUUAGACCCUGGGUGUCGUAGCUAACGCGUUAAGCACACCGCCUGGGGAUACGGCCGCAAGGUUA
rnacentral:rRNA from 1 species